CCUACGGGGUGCAGCAGUGGGGAAUAUUGCGCAAUGGGCGCAAGCCUGACGCAGCGACGCCGCGUGAGGGAUGACGGUCUUCUGAUCGUAAACCUCUUUUAGCAGGGAAGAACGGUCACUUUCCUAAUCAGCACUGAAUUGACGGUACCUGCAAAGGAAGCACCGGCUAACUCCGUCCCAGCAGCCGCGGUAAUACGGAGGGUGCGAGCGUUAAUCGGAAUUACUGGGGGUAAAGGGCUCGUAGGCGGUAUGUCAAGUCAAGGGUGAAAUCCCGGGGCUCAACGUGGGAAUUUGCUUUGAAACUGGCAGACUAGAGAGUAUGAGAGGAAAGUGGAAUGUAAGGUGUAGGAGUGAAAUGCGUAGAGAUCAGGAAGAACACCAGUGGCGAAGGCAACUAUCUGGGACAUAACUGACGCUGAGGAGCGAAAGCGUGGGUAGCAAACAGGAUUAGAUACCCGGGUAGUC
rnacentral:rRNA from 1 species